UACGAAGGGCCCAAGCGUUGUUCGGAAUCACUGGGCGUAAAGGGAGCGUAGGCGGCGAGGUAAGUCAGAUGUGAAAUCCCGGGGCUCAACCCCGAAACUGCAUCCGAUACUGCCAUGCUAGAGUGAUGGAGAGGUAGCUGGAAUUCUUGGUGUAGCAGUGAAAUGCGUGGAGAUCAAGAGGAACACUCGUGGCGAAAGCGAGCUACUGGACAGUUACUGACGCUGAGGCUCGAAGGCCAGGGUAGCGAAAGGG
rnacentral:rRNA from 1 species